rnacentral:rRNA from 1 species
AGAGAGAGACAUGCGCGCAUAUCAAUAAGCGGAGGAAAAGAAACUAACAAGGAUUCCCUUAGUAACGGCGAGUGAAGCGGGAAGAGCUCAAAUUUGAAAUCUUCAAGGUUCUACCUUGACGAAUUGUAGUUUAUAGAGGUGUUUUCUGUUGGUGGAGUGGCAAAAGUUCUUUGGAAUAGGACAUCAUAGAGGGUGAGAAUCCCGUAUUUGGUCAUUCCUCCUAGCGUUGUGAUACACUUUCAACGAGUCGGAUUGUUUGGGAAUGCAGUCCAAAAUGGGUGGUAAAUUUCAUCUAAAGCUAAAUAUUGGCGAGAGACCGAUAGCGAACAAGUACCGUGAGGGAAAGAUGAAAAGAACUUUGAAAAGAGAGUUAAACAGUACGUGAAAUUGUCAAAAGGGAAGCGUUUGACACCAGUGUUGUUUUUCCGAAAAUCAAUUACGAAUGUUUUGUUUUUGAGGAGUUAUGACUUCAUCGGCUUGCUCCUUUCUUUAUGAAACUUUCUUAAUGCACUUUUCGGUUAACAAGUCAACAUCAAUUUCUUUUGUUGUAAAAGGGUAUGAGGAAGGUGGCUUUCUUUUCAGGAGAAAGUGUUUAUAGCCUCGUGCCUCUGCAAUCGGAGAGAUUGAGGUCUGCAGCGUAGAUCCUUCGGGGUUAGAUACGUUUGUGCUAAGUUAUAGCUUUUCAUAGACAACUUGUUGACUAUGUUUAGUCUUGUAGCUUACUCGCUGACGCUAUUUUACCUACGCUUAGGAUGUUGAUAGUCACAGCGUGUAC